ensembl:snRNA U6 U6 spliceosomal RNA
UUUAAUGUGCUUAAGAUUCACCAAAGGAAUGAUACAGAGAAGAUUAGCAUGGCCCCUGCACAGGAUGACACAAAUUUGAGAAGCAUUCCAAAAAUAA